AGGGUACGGGGAGAGCAGCGCCCCCAUGGUGAGCACCGGAACUGCAACUGGGAGUUAAUUAUCAGUGGGAGUUAAUUAAUGAUGAUGGUGGGAGUUAAUUAAUGAUGGGAUUUGAUAAUGGCAGUUAAUAAUGGGAGUUAAUGAUGGGAUUUAAUGAUGGGAGAUGAAAGGGUACGGGGAGAGCAGCGCCCCCAUGGUGAGCACCGGAACUGCAACCGGGAGUUAAUUAUCAGUGGGAGUUAAUUAAUGAUGAUGGGAAAUAAUUAAUAAUGGGGAUUAAUAAUGGGAGUAACAAGGGGAAUAAUAAUGGGAAUUAAUAACAGGAAUAACGGGGAUAAUAACAGGAAUAACCAUGGGAAUUAAUAACGGGAAUAAUGGGAAUGAUAACGGGAAUUAAUAACGGGAAUAAUGGGGAUGAUAACGGGAAUUAAUAACGGGAAUAAUGGGGAUGAUAACGGGAAUUAAUAACGGGGAUAAUGGGAAUAACAAUGGGAAUAACAAUGGGAAUGAUAACGGGAAUAACAAUGGGAAUGAUAACGGGAAUAACAAUGGGAAUUAUUAAUGGGAAUAAUGGGAAUAACAAUGGGAAUAAUAACGGGGAUAAUGGGAAUAACAAUGGGAAUUAAUAACGGGAAUAAUGGGAAUAACAAUGGGAAUUAAUAACGGGAAUAACAAUGGGAAUAAUAACGGGGAUAAUGGGAAUAACAAUGGGAAUUAAUAACGGGGAUAACGGGAAUAACAAUGGGAAUUAAUAAUGGGAAUUUUGGGAUUUUGGGAAUUCCAGGAUGGGAUGGAGAUUCCAGGAUGCGAUUGGAUUUCCAGGAGGGGACGGGGAUUUUGGGAUGCGGUUGGAAUUCUGGGAUGAGCUGGGAAUUCCAGGAUGGGAUUGGAAGUUUGGACUGGGAACAGAAUUCGGGGAUGGGUUUGGAAUUCCGGGAUCAGCUGGGAAUUCUGGAAUGGGGUCAGGAUUCCGGGAAUUCCGGAAUUGGAUUUUAAUUCUGGGAUGGGGUUGGGAAUUCCGGGGUGGGAUCGGAAUUAUGGGAUGGGAUCGGAAAUCUGGGGUAGGAAUGGGGAUUUUGGGAUGGGAAAAAAAAAAAUCCUGCAAAAAAAUCAUGGAGAAAAAAUUGGGAAAAAUAAGGAAAUUAAAAUAUUGUAAAAAAAAAAAAGUUGGGAAAAAAUUUAAUGGGAAAAAAAAAACGGGGAAAAAUAAUGGAAAAAAAUCCUGGGGAAAAAAUUCAUGGGAAGGAAAAAUCAUGGAAAAGAAAC